UGGGGAAUCUUGCGCAAUGGGCGAAAGCCUGACGCAGCGACGCCGCGUGAGUGAUGAAGGCCUUCGGGUUGUGAAGCUCUGUGGAGGGGGACGAAUAAGUCGGAGCGAACAGCUCCGAUGAUGACGGUACCCUUUUAGCGAGCACCGGCUAACUCUGUGCCAGCAGCCGCGGUAAGACAGAGGGUGCAAACGUUGUUCGGAAUUACUGGGCGUAAAGCGCGUGUAGGCGGCUCUGAUAAGUGAGGUGUGAAAGCCCUGGGCUCAACCCAGGAAGUGCACUUCAAACUAUCGAGCUUGAAGGCUGGAGAGGAAAGCGGAAUUCUCGGUGUAGAGGUGAAAUUCGUAGAUAUCGAGAGGAACACCCGUGGCGAAGGCGGCUCACUGGCUCGAUACUGACGCUGAGGUGCGAAAGCGUGGGGAGCAAACA
rnacentral:rRNA from 1 species